GGCCGGAUGGCGCAAUGGUAGCGCGUUGGUUUUCGGCACCAAAGGUUGCGCGUUCGAAUCGCGUUUCGGUCG
rfam:Neosartorya fischeri NRRL 181 1099437636265 genomic scaffold, whole genome shotgun sequence.